GGUCUCAUAGUUCAGUUGGUUAGAACGCACCGUUCACAUCGGUGAGGUCACAAGUUCGAGUCUUGUUGAGACCACAA
rnacentral:tRNA from 1 species